CAGGGAGUCGGGGAGACCCGUAAUUUGUUAGUUUUUUGUAAGAAAGUUUCAGACAUGGCAAUUGGCACCGUCAAGUGGUUUAAUGAUUCCAAGGGUUUUGGCUUUAUCACUCCUGAUGAUGGCAGCGAAGACCUUUUCGCUCACUUCUCCGCCAUCAACAUGAAUGGUUUCAAGACUCUGAAGGAAGGUCAAAAAGUUUCCUUCGAUGUCGUGCAAGGCCCCAAGGGUAAACAGGCUUCCAACAUCCAGAGCACCUAAGUCUCGGAUCGCAGAAAAGCAAAAGCCCGCCUGAUUUAGGCGGGCUUUUUUC
rnacentral:sRNA from 1 species